AUGGCCGCUGAAGACGAGUUACUGCUGCGCGGCUCCCAGAGCUAUUGGAAACCAGCAAACAGCUGCUGGAUGAAGUAGAAGUAGCGACUGCACCUGCCGGUUCCCGGAUAGUCCAGGAGAAGGUGUUCAAGCGCCUGGACCUCCUUGAGAAGGCUGCCGAAAUGUUAUCGCAGCUCGACUUAUUCAGCCAAAAUGAAGACUUGGAAGAGAUUGGUCCCACCGACCUGAAGUACCUAUUUGGUGCGAGCAUUUCAAGGAGCCCUCACUAUGAAAUAAGUCAGCCCUAGCAAAUGUCUAGAUCAUUUGCAGCGGGCUCAAGAACACUUUAUAAACGACUUAACUGACUGCCAUUGCUAUCAUGUGGCAGAGUCUGAGCUGCCCAAAGCCAAGAACAGCUCAGGUGAAAAUCACACUGCUAAUUCCUCUAUGGCUUAUCCCAGCCUCGUUGCUAUGGCAUCUCAAAGACAGGCUAAAAUAGAGAGAGUAUUUGGAGCUGGUUAUCCAAGUCUGGCAACUAUGACAGUGAGUAACUGGUAUGAGCAACAUCGGAAAUACGGAGCAUUACCAGAUCAGAGAAUAACCAAGAAAACACCAGAAGAAGAAUUCAGAAAAGCAGCUCAGCAACGGGAAAAUCAAGAAAAAAAGGAGGAAGACGAUGAUGAACAAACACUGUACAGAGCUCCGGAGUGGGAUGACUGGAAGGACACCCAUCCUAGGGGCUAUGGCAACCGACAGAACAUGGGCUGAUCUUCCCACAACACCACAGGACUGCAGGGUGCACACCUCCCCUGCCAAGAAAAAUCAUGCAGUCCUCCCCUCCCUGGGCUCCGGCUUCAGCUAGGUACAACAAAGGCAAAGAUGCUAAAUCUUGCUUUGCAUUCAAUAAAGUGUCAAGUGAUUAAGUGUGUAUUUGUAUCCUAGGUGAUGUGAACCAGCAGUCUUGUUUUGGCAUCAUCAUCCUCAUCAUGUUGUAUUUUAAUUUCUUAAGUAGAAAGAAAAGAGUGCUGAGAAAUGGCUCUGUAUAAUCAAUGGCUGUCUGAAUUCUCUGAAAAAAUAAAAGUUCCCUCUAUUACA